CGUGCGUGUGCGGAACGGGAUGGACAAAGCCUUCGUGGAAUCCAUAGGCGGGCUUGAACUCACACCAGUAGGCCAUCGGAUAGCCGCGGUCCGGUUCGCUCUGGCGGCGCCGAUUCUUCUCCUUGUUGUAGAUGGUGAAAUUACCCGUCGGAGUCGUGGCGCCCGGCUUGCCCACAUUGCCCUGGACCGCCAUGAGCAGGCGGUCGCCCUCGAUCACAUAAAGAUUCUGGGUCGAGAGCGAAAGUUUGACUUCCACCUUCGAAGGAUCGUGCGGGCGAUGCGCCGUCACGCGAUAGGUUCCGGACGAGACGCUGCUCGUCGAGCCGCAACUCGUCAGAAACAGAGCAGAGGUGGCGCCGAG
rnacentral:misc_RNA from 1 species